GGAAGGAAGGAGGGCUCCAAAACUGGGGAUAGGUUAUCCGUGCUCUGAGUCUGAGAAGGGGAUUUGGGGGAGGCUUAAGGUAGAAACAAAAGAUCUCAGUUUUGCCAUCCAAAUCAACCCAUGGCCAGAUCAGAUUUAGGAUUUCUUCUGAAUUUUGUCCUUGGAGGUGUGGGAAGAAUGAAUAUUGAAUAUUCAUACUCAACAUGAAUAUUUUGGAAGCUGGGCCUGAAAGUUAAGGAGCUUUCAGAACUGUGAACUGUUGUCUCCACAUCUGAUGCUGAAGCUCGAAGCCUAAGGCACAAGCAGUUAGGAAGGGAAGGUCAUAAGCAGGCUGGAACCCACAAGCAUGAGCUGGAACCCUGCAAAGAUGGACUGAAACCCUGUUUGUUCUUGUUGCCUCUGACCCUAGUGAUGAGUGUGUCCUGCAGAAGCCAGGCCCUUCAUCGUGGAGUUAACCUGACACCUGGCCCAGGAGUCAGAGGCGCUGAAGGAGGAUUCAGGGCAGGUGGAUCGAGUUUGGGCCCAGAUGCUGCUCAAUACCAUGACAGUGAGCCAUGAGCUCAGCAACAGUUUGUGUGAGCUACAGAAUGGCUGCAUCACUUCUGCUGCUCCAAGAAGCUCACACAGAGAAAAAGUAAAUCCCUUCGUAAGAAGCUGAGAUAACAGAAUGAGGAAACUGGUCCUAGGCCAGAAAAGAGGAAUGUAAGGUUAUUAAUAUAAAGGAAUGUAAG
ensembl:lncRNA novel transcript